CUUCGGGAACUGUGAGACAGGUGCUGCAUGGCUGUCGUCAGCUCGUGUUGUGAAAUGUUGGGUUAAGUCCCGCAACGAGCGCAACCCUUAUCCUUUGUUGCCAGCGGUCCGGCCGGGAACUCAAAGGAGACUGCCAGUGAUAAACUGGAGGAAGGUGGGGAUGACGUCAAGUCAUCAUGGCCCUUACGACCAGGGCUACACACGUGCUACAAUGGCGCAUACAAAGAGAAGCGACCUCGCGAGAGCAAGCGGACCUCAUAAAGUGCGUCGUAGUCCGGAUUGGAGUCUGCAACUCGACUCCAUGAAGUCGGAAUCGCUAGUAAUCGUGGAUCAGAAUGCCACGGUGAAUACGUUCCCGGGCCUUGUACACACCGCCCGUCACACCAUGGGAGUGGGUUGCAAAA
rnacentral:rRNA from 1 species